GAUUUCUGAACUAGUGUUUCUGGCCGGCCACGGUUUCGUGUGUUAGUGCUAGAACUACUGUUCAUCCUUUUACUCUAUAUUUACUGAUCUUAACUGAUUGGUAGAUAUAGGUAAAUCUUUUACUUUGAACAAAUUAGAGUGUUUCAAGCAGGCUAUAUGCUAUGAAUACAUUAGCAUGGAAUAAUAAUUUAGGACUUCGGUUCUAUUUUGUUGGUUUCUAUUACUGAAGUAAUGAUUGAUAGGGACAGUUGGGGGUGCUAGUAUUCAGUGCGAAGAGGUGAAAUUCUUGGAUCCACUGAAGACUAACUUAAGCGAAAGCAUU
rnacentral:rRNA from 1 species